rnacentral:lncRNA from 1 species
UCUGAGAACACAACUCGUUUCAAUCUUUUUGGAUGAAUGGAACCUGAUCUGCUGAACUCAAUCGCUAAACUCUGUUCGUGAAGCUCGGAAAGGACUCUGAAAGUGUCAUCUUUUGAGAUAAGAGGUAAAAGAGGCUGAGAUCCACGCUUCAGAAAACAUUUAAACCGGCUUACUCGGUUCUGAGCUAUGCACCUUGUAUCACAGAUUCAUUUUGAGGUGUAGAAUAGGUUAGAUUAUACAAAAAAAUUUAUGAAAUUCAGGGGUUUAGCAUAUCAGCUCAUACCGUUUGCCGAUAAAUAAAAGAUCAAGUCCUAUGAGGAUCCCGCUUUGUGCAUGAUUCAGGGCUGUAGAUGGAGCUACACGCUUGAGGGAGCCGUCAUAGAGACCAACUCCUUGUUUCUUAGUUGGAGUGGAUUUCGCUGGAUUAUUAGCCAUGGAUGUGGUGGUCGAUAUCGCCGGAGUUCGGUUCUAGCCGAAGCUUUGGAGCUGCAAACUGUUUAUCAUCCAUAGCCAUAGCUUGAUUUUCAUGGCCAUAGCUUGAUAUUCUUGUAUAGAGGUUCUACGAUGUGGUUUGAUUUAAAUAUCGAUAAAGGAGUUAUAUAAGAUGGAAAACAAAGGGAGGUGAAGGAAAAGAUCUCAUGAAGAUAAGAGUCAAAGAAGUGAAUUGAAUGUGUUAUCAAAACUCUGAAACGGAGAUUCAUAGAAAUCGGAAACGAUGGUGGUGGAGCGGAAAAGUUGCGUUGUUUGCUAUGAGCGCGAGAUGGGCAGUGUUAUAAUGGGCCACUUUGAUUUGUCAUAAGCCCAGUAAAUAU